AGCAGCCGCGGUAAUUCCAGCUCCAAUAGCGUAUAUUAAAGUUGUUGCAGUUAAAAGCUCGUAGUUGAAUUUCGGGAUUGGCGCAUCGGUCGUGCCUUACGGGGUAUGAACUGGUGCAGUCAAUUUCUCACCUUCUGGAGAACCGCGAUGUCCUUAAUUGGGUGCCGCGGGGAACCAGGACCUUUACUUUGAAAGAAUUAGAGUGUUUAAAGCAGGCAUUUUUGCUUGAAUACAUUAGCAUGGAAUAAUAAAAUAGGACGGCAUGGUUCUAUUUUGUUGGUUUCUAGGACCACCGUAAUGAUUAAUAGGGGAUAGUUGGGGGGCAUUAGUAUUCAAUUGUCAGAGGUGAAAUUCUUGGAUUUAUUGAAGACUAACUACUGCGAAAGCAUUUGCCAAGGAUGUUUUCGUUAAUCAAGAACGAAAGUUAGGGGAUCGAAGACGAUCAGAUACCGUCGUAGUCUUAACCAUAAACUAUGCCGACUAGGAAUCAGACGAUGUUAAUUUUUUAAUGACUCGUUUG
rnacentral:rRNA from 1 species